rnacentral:rRNA from 1 species
AGCGAACGCUGGCGGCGUGCCUAACACAUGCAAGUCGAACGUGAACGGGGGCAACCCUUAGUAAAGUGGCGUACGGGUGAGUAACACGUAGGUAAUCUACCCUGAAGUCCGGAAUAACCGGCCGAAAGGCUGGCUAAUACCAGAUAGAGCGACGGAAUCCGUAAUUGGGUUUUUCGGGAAAGGGAGCUCUGUAAAGAGCCUUCGCUUUAGGAUGAGCCUGCGUCUCAUUAGCUAGUUGGUGGGGUAAUGGCCCACCAAGGCUUUGAUGGGUAGCUGGUCUGAGAGGAUGAUCAGCCACACUGGAACUGAAACACGGUCCAGACUCCUACGGGAGGCAGCAGUGGGGAAUCUUGCGCAAUGGACGAAAGUCUGACGCAGCCACG